AAAAAGGUUCUUUCAAGAAAAAGCUGUUAUCGGGGAAUACAGGGUGUAUUAAAGUAAGAAAAGCGGAACGCACUCGUGAAAAGUCGAAUCUUUAUUAUCGUCCCAGUGGAGGUGGGUAGGAAGGGACACCUGGAGUUUAAGCGAAGCGUUGUAGGAUCGCCGUUGGAACGAUCGACACGAAGAAGAUUCGGGCAUCGACGUAAAGCAAAGCCCUGAGCUUUCUCAGUGAUCGUCUGUAGGAAAAGAAGAGAGAGAAAUAGAAAGAGAAAAAGAGAGGGAGGGAGAGAGAGAGAAAGAGAAAGAGAAAGAGAAAGGGUGGUUUAGGGAUAGGAACAGGGUGGAUGGUGGCAAGAGGUGAAGGAGAGAAAAGAAAACGGAUGGAGAGGGGUAAGAAGAGACAGAGGAGAAAAAUGGAAGAGGGGUAGGAAGAGAGAAAUGGAGGUGCGCCGCUCCUUUAUGCGGCUCUACUCACGGGCUGGCGCACAUGCGCCUCAACAAAACGCGGAUCUUGCGCCCUGCAGCUUCGAUGGGGUGCGUCCGUGCCGGCGACGCUCCUCGUAGACGAGCUUCGUUGAUUCGUACGAUCUCUGUCUCCCGAUCACGUCUCCAAUUGUGUCACGUCUUUUCUCCUUUAACUCGUCUACUUGUCUACUCGUUGUAUCUCGUACUUUCAAGAAAACUCUUCUUUAAGAUUAAUUCAAAUCUUUUUUUAUAUCAUCGUGAUCAUUGUUUAACUGUUAAACAAAUAUUCAUAUCUUCAGUGAGGAAGAUUCAUAUUUCUUUUGAACUGUAUUCGAUUAACGAAUAUUUUCUACCUGGGUAAGGAUCACGAGAAGAAGAAGAAGAAAAAGAAUAAGAAGAAAGAAAGAAAGAAGAUUCUAUCUGGACCACCCAAAGAGGGAGUUGUUCAGUGUUGCUUAGUUGAAAUAUUUCGACGUAAAACUUUGUCCGACGUAAUCGAAGAAAGU